GAUGAAGAACGUAGCGAAAUGCGAUAAGUAAUGUGAAUUGCAGAAUUCCGUGAAUCAUCGAAUCUUUGAACGCACAUUGCGCCCCCUGGUAUUCCGGGGGGCAUGCCUGUCCGAGCGUCAUUGCAACCUUCAAGCGCGGCUUGUGUGUUGGGUCUCGUCCCCCGUGGACGGGCCCGAAAGGCAGUGGCGGCGUCCCGACAUGUUGCCCGAGCGUAUGGGAAUCCUCUUCCGCUCGAAUCGGCCCAUGCGGCGCUGGUCGUAACCAAAUUUUUUACCGGUUGACCUCGGAUCAGGUAGGGAUACCCGCUGAACUUAAGCAUAUCAAUAAGCGGAGGA
rnacentral:misc_RNA from 1 species